GGUUCUAUAGUGUAAUGGCUAGCAUGCUGGACUCUGAAUCCAGCAAUCUGAGUUCAAAGCUCUGUAGGACCU
rnacentral:tRNA from 1 species